AGCAUUAUACCGUGAAACUGCGAAUGGCUCAUUAAAUCAGUUAUCGUAUAUUUGAUAGUACCUUUACGUACAUGGAUACCAGUGGUAAUUCUAGAGCUAAUACAUGCCACAAUCCCCGACUCUGAAGGGGUGCGUAUAUCAGGCAAAAAACCAAUGCCCUCUGGGCUAUUCGGUGAAUCAUGGUAUCCAAGCGAAUCGCAUGGCCUUGAGCCUGCGAUGGUUCAUUCAAAUUUCUGCCCUAUCAACUUUCGAUGGUAAGGUAUUGGCCUACCAUGGUAUCAACGGGUAACGGGGAAUUAGGGUUCGAUUCCGGAGAGGGAGCCUGAGAAACGGCUACCACAUCCAAGGAAGGCAGCAGGCGCGCAAAUUACCCAAUCCCAACACGGGGAGGUAGUGACAAUAAAUACUGAUACAGGGCUCUUUCGGGUCUUGUAAUUGGAAUGAGUGCAACUCAAAUCCCUCAACGAGGAACAAUUGGAGGGCAAGUCUGGUGCCAGCAGCCGCGGUAAUUCCAGCUCCAAUAGCGUAUAUUAAAGUUGUUGCAGUUAAAAAGCUCGUAGUUGAACCUUGGGCCCGGCCGCCCGGUCCGCCUAACCGCGUGCACUGGUGCGGCCAGGCCCUUCCCCCUGGGGAACCGCAUGCCCUUCACUGGGCGUGCCGGGGAACCAGGACUUUUACUUUGAAAAAAUUAGAGUGUUCAAAGCAGGCCUAUGCCCAGAUACAUUAGCAUGGAAUAAUAGAAUAGGACGUUGCGGUCCUAUUUUGUUGGUUUCUAGAACCGCCGUAAUGAUUAAUAGGGACAGUCGGGGGNCGUCCGUAUUCAGCCGCGAGAGGUGAAAUUCUUAGACCGGCUGAAGACGAUCUACUGCGAAAGCAUUCGCCAAGGAUGUUUUCAUUAAUCAGUGAACGAAAGUUGGGGGAUCGAAGACGAUCAGAUACCGUCGUAGUCUCAACCGUAAACCAUGCCGACUAGGGAUCGGGCGGCGCUCAACUGUUGACCCGCCCGGCACCUUACGAGAAAUCAAAGUCUUUGGGUCUGGGGAGUAGCGAGCCU
rnacentral:rRNA from 1 species